rnacentral:lncRNA from 1 species
GAGAUGCAAGUCUCAUGCUAAGCACUUCCAAGUUGACCUCCCAGAUUGCACAUCCCUAGAGAUUGGGAUGCGACUCCACGGAGGCCAAGCUCCCAUGCUGAGCUUGCAAGUUGAACUCUGAGGUUGCGCAUCCCAUAAGAUCGAGAUGCGAGUCCCUGGGGUUGACCAGAGCUAUUCCGAGCUUCCAAGCCAUGCAUCCCUAA